GGCGAGCGUUGUCCGGAAUCAUUGGGCGUAAAGGGAGCGCAGGCGGGCGUGUAAGUCUUUCUUAAAAGUUCGGGGCUCAACCCCGUGAUGGGAAAGAAACUACAUGUCUUGAGUACAGGAGAGGAAAGCGGAAUUCCCAGUGUAGCGGUGAAAUGCGUAGAUAUUGGGAGGAACACCAGUGGCGAAGGCGGCUUUCUGGACUGCAACUGACGCUGAGGCUCGAAAGCCAGGGGAGCGAACGGGAUUAGAUACCCCGGUAGUCCUGGCCGUAAACGAUGGAUACUAGGUGUGGGAGGUAUCGACCCGUACCGUGCCGGAGUUAACGCAAUAAGUAUCCCGCCUGGGGAGUACGGUCGCAAGACUGAAACUCAAAGGCAUUGACGGGGGACCCGCACAAGCGGUGGAGUAUGUGGGUUUAAUUCGAAGCAACGCGAAGAACCUUACCAGGCCUUGACAUUGACUGAAAGUGCUAGAGAUAGCAUCCUCUCUUCGGAGACAGGAAAACAGGUGGUGCAUGGCUGUCGUCAGUCUCGUGUCGUGAGAU
rnacentral:rRNA from 1 species